GACGAACGCUGGCGGCGCGCCUAAUGCAUGCAAGUCGAACGAGCGGACCCCUUCGGGGGCGAGCUAGUGGCAGACGGCUGAGUAACGCGUAAGCAACCUACCCACUGGCGGGGGACAACCCGGAGAAAUCCGAGCUAAUACCGCAUGUGGUUGCCUGCCGAUAGCGGGUAACGAAAGGCUUCGGCCACCAGUGGAUGGGCUUGCGUCCCAUCAGGUAGUUGGUGAGGUAACGGCCCACCAAGCCGUCGACGGGUAGCCGGUGUGAGAGCACGACCGGCCAGAGGGGGACUGAGACACGGCCCCCACUCCUACGGGAGGCAGCAGCAGGGAAUCUUGCGCAAUGGGCGAAAGCCUGACGCAGCGACGCCGCGUGAGGGAAGAAGGCCUGCGGGUCGUAAACCUCUUUUCUCGGGGAAGAUAGUGACGGUACCCGAGGAAUAAGCCUCGGCUAACUACGUGCCAGCAGCCGCGGUAAUACGUAGGAGGCUAGCGUUGUCCGGAUUCAUUGGGCGUAAAGGGAGCGCAGGUGGCCGAGUUAGUCCGUGGUGCAAUCUCCAGGCUCAACUUGGAGAGGUCUACGGGAUACUGCUCGGCUUGAGGACGGUAGAGGAGCACGGAAUUCCUGGUGUAGUGGUGAAAUGCGUAGAUAUCAGGAGGAACACCCGUGG
rnacentral:rRNA from 1 species